rnacentral:rRNA from 1 species
CAGCCGCCGCGGGAAUACGUAGGGUGCGAGCGUUAAUCGGAAUUACUGGGCGUAAAGCGUGCGCAGGCGGUUUUGUAAGACAGGCGUGAAAUCCCCGGGCUCAACUUGGGAAUGGCGCUUGUGACUGCAAAGCUAGAGUGCGGCGGAGGGGGAUGGAAUUCCGCGUGUAGCAGUGAAAUGCGUAGAUAUGCGGAGGAACACCGAUGGCGAAGGCAAUCCCCUGGGCCUGCACUGACGCUCAUGCACGAAAGCGUGGGGAGCAAACAGGAUUAGAGACCCCCGUAGUCCCUGUCUCUUAUAC